CACCUCUAGCAUAACAAGUAUUAGAGGCAUUGCCUGCCCAGUGACUAAAGUUAAACGGCCGCGGUAUCCUGACCGUGCAAAGGUAGCAUAAUCACUUGUUCCUUAAUUAGGGACUAGAAUGAAUGGCUAAACGAGGGUUCAACUGUCUCUUACUUUCAAUCAGUGAAAUUGACCUUCCAGUGAAGAGGCUGGAAUACUAUAAUAAGACGAGAAGACCCUAUGGAGCUUUAAUUUACUAGUUUAAUUUAUACAGUAACAACCUAAUGGACCAAAACAAAAUAAAUAUAAACUAAAAAUUUCGGUUGGGGUGACCUCGGAGAAUAAAAAAUCCUCCGAAUGAUUUUAACCUAGACCCACAAGUCAAAGUAAUAUUAAUAUCUUAUUGACCCAAUUAUUGAUCAACGGACCAAGUUACCCUAGGGAUAACAGCGCAAUCCUAUUUAAGAGUUCAUAUCGACAAUUAGGGUUUACGACCUCGAUGUUGGAUCAGGACAUCCCAAUGGUGCAGAAGCUAUUAAUGGUUCGUUUGUUCAACGAUUAAAGUCCU
rnacentral:rRNA from 1 species